GAAGGUAUAGCUUAGUUGUGGAGUGCAUGCUUAGCAUGCACAAAGUCCUGGGCUCAAUCCCCAGUACCUCCA
rfam:Camelus ferus unplaced genomic scaffold scaffold371, whole genome shotgun sequence.